CAUCUGUUUCAUUAGAAACAUCGGUCAAUUCGAUAAUACAACUUGAAAAAGGAAAACAUUUCAAUGAUCAAGGCGAUUACUCUUCAAACACCCCUAAUCUAAGUAACACAGAUGAGAGCUUUGCUUUUGCUUUAGAUUCCGUGACGAGAGAUCCUCCAACGUCAUUGCUAAAUUCAUCGAAAUCCAUAGAAAUUAUUGGGAGCUCAAGCGUAUCUUUUGAAUGCAAAUAAAUUAAAAGCACAGUCAAAUGAUAUGUAAAAAACUUUGACAAUAUGCAAUACUCUAAGACUUAGAGACAGUUGUUAUCUGAUUUAUUAACAACUCACUGCCAUACAAGUGAUUGUAUAAGUGGUUAAGUCUUAACCCUGAUUUGCAUUGUACUGGCAUUUGUUUGAAAUGAACUGUGGAUGUGCAGCAUAGAUCCCAAAAAUAAAAUUUAAGUGAUUCAUUUUAAAUAAACAGCGAAUAACCCUUCAUUAAGUAAAAUACACUAAAAAUGUUAAAAAAAAUUUUGUUUCGUGUUGCGAAUUUACACCAGUGUAAUAAAUAAAAUCUUUCAAUUGAAGUUUCAUUUAAAUUUUUGUUUACAGUGACUUACUGAAUAUCUGCUUUUAUUUUGGGUAUUCAAAAGGGUCAAUAUAAGCGGAAGAAUUGGCUUUAUCUUGAUUUGUACACUGACGACAAUAAAUUUAAAGUGACUUACUGAAUAUCUGCUUUUAUUUUGGGUGUUCAAAAGGGUCAAUAUAAGCGGAAGAAUUGGCUUUAUCUUGAUUUGUACACUGACGACAAUAAAUUUAAAGUGACUUACUGAAUAUCUGCUUUUAUUUUGGGUGUUCAAAAGGGUCAAUAUAAGCGGAAGAAUUGGCUUUAUCUUGAUUUGUACACUGACGACAAUAAAUUUAAAGUGACUUAUUGAAUAUCUGCUUUUAUUUUGGGUGUUCAAAAGGGUCAAUAUAAGCGGAAGAAUUGGCUUUAUCUUGAUUUGUACACUGACGACAAUAAAUUUAAAGCUCGAUACUUGGCCAUUUCCGGGUUCACAAAGCUCGAUAAAUUUUCAAGUGGCUUGGAGAUUAUGGUGGCCACUAGAGGUCUGCAUUCAAAUCAAAUCAUUUAAAUCGACCGUU
rnacentral:sRNA from 1 species